CAAGCAGCGGAGCAUGCGGCUUAAUUCGACGCAACGCGAAGAACCUUACCAAGGCUUGACAUAUAGGGAAAAGUGGCAGAGAUGUCAUGUCCGCAAGGGCUCUAUACAGGUGGUGCAUGGUUGUCGUCAGCUCGUGUCGUGAGAUGUUGGGUUAAGUCCCGCAACGAGCGCAACCCUCGUUCUGUGUUGCCAGCAUUUAGUUGGGGACUCACAGGAGACUGCCGGGGUUAACUCGGAGGAAGGUGGGGAUGACGUCAAAUCAUCAUGCCCCUUAUGUCUUGGGCUGCACGCAUGCUACAAUGGCCGGUACAGAGGGCUGCAAUACCGUAAGGUGGAGCGAAUCCCAAAAAGCCGGUCUCAGUUCGGAUUGAGGUCUGCAACUCGACCUCAUGAAGUUGGAGUUGCUAGUAAUCGUAGAUCAGCAUCGCUACGGUGAAUACGUUCCCGGGGCUUGUACACACCGCCCGUCACGUCACGAAAGUCGGUAACACC
rnacentral:rRNA from 1 species